GCGGGGCGGGGAUGGUGUACGGGCAAGGGGGAAAUCCUGUGAUGCUGCAGCCCCUCUCUGGAGGAGUUCAUCUGUAACGAGAUGGUGGAACGGAAACUCCUUGUUCUUUUUGGCAGCCAAACUGGGACAGCUCAAGACACAGCUGAGAGAAUUGGCAGAGAAGCCAAGCGACGCCACUUUCAGUGCAGAGUGGAGGCGCUGGACAGCUAUGACGUGGCCAACCUCAUCAAUGAGCUGUUGGUGAUAUUUGUCUGUGCAACCACUGGCCAGGGUGACCCACCUGACAACAUGAAGAUGUUCUGGCGGUUUCUGUUCCGGAAGAACCUACCGCCCGGUUCCCUCUGCCAGCUGGACUAUGCUGUGCUGGGCCUUGGCGACUCCUCCUAUCCCAAGUUUAAUUUUGUUGCGAAGAAGCUGCACAAACGGCUGCUACAGCUUGGGGGCAACCCUCUGCUGCCAGUGGCGUUGGGAGACGACCAGCAUGACUUAGGGCCAGAUGCAGUGGUAGAUCCAUGGCUCCUGGCCUUAUGGGACAAGAUCCUUGCCUUGUAUCCUCUUCCUCCUGGCCUUGAGAUCAUCAGUCCAGAUGUACGCCCACCCCCAAAAUACACCCUGCACUACCUGGCUGAGGACUCCCCGUACCCCAAUGGUGGCCUGCUCCAGCCAAUAGCACCUAGAGCUGUUCCCUCUGAGCUGCAUCCCUUCGCUGCCCGGGUGGUGUCCAAUCAGCGGGUCACGGCAGAAUCCCAUUUCCAGGAUGUCCGGCUCAUCGAGUUCGAUGUCACAGGCUCGGGGAUCAUGUUCAGUGCCGGGGACGUGGUGAUGAUCCAGCCCCAGAACUGCCCUGAAGAUGUGCAGCAGUUCUGCCAGCUCCUGCGCCUGGAUCCAGACAGACGCUUUGUGUUGAAGCCCACGGAGCCUGAUGCAUCCCUCCCUGCCCUCUUGCCACAGCCCUGCACCAUCCGGCACCUGGUCACCCACUACCUGGACAUCUCCUGUGUGCCACGGCGCUCCUUUUUCGAGCUCUUGUCUUACUUCUCUACGAACGAGCUGGAGCGGGAGAAGCUACAGGAGUUCAGCUCUGCGCAGGGCCAGGAAGAGCUGUACAGCUACUGCAACCGGCCCCGCAGGACCACUCUCGAGACCCUCUGGGAUUUCCCCCACACUACCUGUGCCAUUCCACCUGAAUACCUGCUGGACCUCAUCCCUCGCAUCAGACCCCGCGCCUUCUCCAUCGCCUCCUCCAUGCUGGCUCACCCUGAUCGGAUCCAGAUCCUCGUGGCAGUAGUGCGGUACAAGACACAGCUCAGUAAACCCCGCCGUGGUCUCUGUUCUACCUGGUUGGCUUCUCUCAACCCAGAGCAAGGUGAUUUCCGGGUACCUCUCUGGGUGAAGAAAGGAGGAAUGAAGUUCCCAGCUGACCCUGACACCCCUGUGAUCAUGAUUGGCCCUGGCACAGGGGUGGCACCUUUCCGAGCAGCGAUACAGGAGCGGGUGGCACAAGGACGUAGAGCACACAGAGGCCUCUCGUUGCCACAGGUCACUUGUCUUCACGCUCACGUGGCUCCUGGCUUUUCCAGGCCAGGGCUGUCAGCCAGGCGCAGUAGAGAGGGAACUGCUUGUUCUUUGGCUGCCGCCAGAAAUCCAAGGACUUCUACUGCCAGGCGGAGUGGGAAGAGCUGGUGACAAAGGGCUUCCUGACGCUCUUCACUGCCUUCUCCAGGGACCAGGAGGAGAAGGUUUAUGUUCAGCACCGCAUCCAGGAGAACCAAAGGCUGGUGUGGGAGCUGCUGAACAGCAGGAACGCUCACAUCUACCUGGCUGGGAAUGCCAAGCAGAUGCCAGUGGCGGUGGCCGAAGCCCUGCAGUUGGUGUUGCAGCUGGAAGGUGGCCUGUCACCCUCCGAAGCAGAGGAGCAUUUAAUAGCCCUGGAACGGUCCCAGCGCUUCCAGUCUGAAACCUGGUCGUAAGCUGGCUCCCUGCCUCUGCCUUCCCCGCAAACUCUGCCUGAAUAAAGGAGCCAGCAAAAC